rnacentral:rRNA from 1 species
UACGGAGGGUGCAAGCGUUAUCCGGAUUUACUGGGUUUAAAGGGUGCGUAGGCGGCCUGAUAAGUCAGUGGUGAAAACUAGCAGCUCAACUGUUAGCGUGCCAUUGAUACUGCCAGGCUUGAGUAUAGCAGAGGUGGGUGGAAUUCUACAUGUAGCGGUGAAAUGCUUAGAUAUGUAGAGGAACGCAAUAACGAAGGUAACUCACUGGGCUAUUACUGACGCUGAGGCACGAAAGCGUGGGGAGCAAACAGG